rnacentral:rRNA from 1 species
GACGAACGCUGGCGGCGUGCUUAAUACAUGCAAGUCGAGCGGGCACCAUCCGGUGGCAACACUGGUGAAGUGCUAGCGGCGAACGGGUGAGUAACACGUGAGCAACCUGCCCCAAGUCUGGGAUAACCCCGGGAAACCGGAGCUAAUACCGGAUGCCCUCGUCGGAUCGCAUGGUCUGACGAGGAAAGUUUUUCGCUUGGGGAGGGGCUCGCGGCCUAUCAGCUUGUUGGUGGGGUAACGGCCUACCAAGGCUUCGACGGGUAGCUGGUC